rnacentral:rRNA from 1 species
CGCGGGAUUUCAGCCGCCGCGGUAACACCAGCCCCUCGAGUGGUGGGGAUGAUUAUUUGGCCUAAAGCGUCCGUAGCCGGCCGGGUAAGUCUCCCGUUAAAUCCAACGUCUCAAGCGUUGGACUGCGGGAGAUACUGCCUGGCUAGAGAGUGGGAGAGGUCAGCGGUAUUCUGGGGGUAGGGGCGAAAUCCUUUGAUCCCCGGAGGACCACCAGUGGCGAAGGCUGCUGACUAGAACACGUCUGACGGUCAGGGACGAAAGCUGGGGUAGCGAACCGGAUUAGAUACCCGGGUAGUCCCAGCCGUAAACGAUGCAUGCUNAGGUGUUGGGUUGGCCACGAGCCACCCCAGUGCCGCAGGGAAGCCGUUAAGCAUGCCGCCUGGGAAGUACGAUCGCAAGAUUGAAACUUAAAGGAAUUGGCGGGGGAGCACCACCAGGCGUGAAGCCUGCGGUUUAAAUUGGAGUCACGCCGGGAACCUUACCGGAAGCGACAGCAGAGUGAAGGCCAGAUUGAAGAUCUUGCCAGACGAGCUGAGAGGAGGUGCAUGGCCGUCGCCAGUUCGUGCCGUGAGGUGUUCUCUUAAGUGAGAUAACGAACGAGACCCGCGCCACAUGUUGCCAUCAGAAUCUAAAGGAUUGCUGGGCACUCUUGUGGGACCGCAGCCGAUAAGGCUGAGGAAGGGGCGGGCAACGGCAGGUCAGUAUGCCCCGAAUCUUCCGGGCCACACGCGGGCUGCAAUGGUAUGGACAGAGGGCUGCCACCCCGAGAGGGGGAGCCAAUCCCUAAACCAUACCUCAGUUGGGAUUGAGGGCUGCAACCCGCCCUCAUGAACAUGGAAUGCCUAGUAACUGCCAGUCAUCAUCUGGCGGUGAAUACGUCCCUGCUCGUUGCACGAAUUCGCCGAAUCACUAGU